AUUGAACGCUGGCGGCAUGCCUUACACAUGCAAGUCGAACGGUAACGCGGGGCAACCUGGCGACGAGUGGCGAACGGGUGAGUAAUAUAUCGGAACGUGCCCAGUGGUGGGGGAUAGCCCGGCGAAAGCCGGAUUAAUACCGCAUACGACCUACGGGUGAAAGCGGGGGAUCGCAAGACCUCGCGCUAUUGGAGCGGCCGAUAUCAGAUUAGGUAGUUGGUGGGGUAAAAGCUCACCAAGCCAACGAUCUGUAGCUGGUCUGAGAGGACGACCAGCCACACUGGGACUGAGACACGGCCCAGACUCCUACGGGAGGCAGCAGUGGGGAAUUUUGGACAAUGGGCGCAAGCCUGAUCCAGCCAUGCCGCGUGCGGGAAGAAGGCCUUCGGGUUGUAAACCGCUUUUGUCAGGGAAGAAACGCUCUGGGCUAAUACCCCGGGGUAAUGACGGUACCUGAAGAAUAAGCACCGGCUAACUACGUG
rnacentral:rRNA from 1 species